ensembl:snoRNA SNORD82 Small nucleolar RNA SNORD82
CGCACAAGUGAUGAACAGCAAAGGGACUUAAUACUGAAGCCUGAUGUGAUAUUGUGAUGUCUGAUGUGC